AACGCACGAGACCUGCGGACCUGCGGAGGGAUCAUUACAGAGUUUUCUAACUCCCAAACCCAUGUGAACUUACCAUUGUUGCCUCGGCGGAGCCUACCCUGUAGCUACCCUAUAAGGUGGUUACCCUGUAGCGCCCCGCCGGUGGAUUUUCAAACUCUUGUUAUUUUUAGUAAUCUGAGAGUCUUAUUUUAAAUAAGUCAAAACUUUUAACAAUGGAUCUCUAGAUCGGAAGAGCACACG
rnacentral:misc_RNA from 1 species